GCUUUAGCAGUGUGUAACAUGUUUUGGCAAUGGUAGACCAUUUAGCUGCACGGGAGCCCUUCAGAAAAAAAAUGAAUACGAUUUUGUGAUCAGCAGCACUCUCUACUGGCCACUGUUUGAAUAAGUCACUGUUUAAAGUAAUGCAUGAUUUCAGUAAAAGGCAGUAAUGUAUUUUUGAGGUGCCUUUUAAACUAAAUCAUUUUGGAUUUAUUCUUCCAAAUUCUUAGAAAAGUUCAUCUUAGUAUGUGUCAUAAUAAACUGUGUGCACAGAGGCAGAGGGUAGUUUGCCUAAGUAAACAGGCUAUAUUAGAGCACAGCUCCAUCUCUCAGCAUGUGUCCUUAUGUUUGGGUGUUUUGUUCAGAGCUGAAGAAAUCUCAUCAUUUUGACCUAAAUGUCACUCAAUGUUACAUGAAAGCAGCAGCGACGGCUUUACCGUCAUCGUUGUCGUCACAUCCACCUUCACAACAAACAGCUGCUUUGUUCAUGCUAUAAUAUUCCAGGGAUGAAUAUAUUUGCAUUGCUAUCAGUGUUUAGAAUCAGUUUUGCCGUGCCUCUUCUGAUGCAAAGACUAUUCAGUUAAGCAAAGCAGAGCGGGUCAUCACUCUGGUCUGUGUGUCAGAGGCAAUCCAGGUAAGAGCAUUACGUAUUAUAUGUAUAACUUUAAAAAUAUAUUUAAUGCUUUGUCUAAAAGUUUUAAAGUAUUUCAUUGCUAUGAAACUUGUUCUUCCUAUUUUUCGAUAUGCUCUUUUUUUUUUAGAUAUUAAUGACAUUAAUUUCUCAGACUGUUCUUAACGGUUGUGAAUCCAGUCUGUUCUAGUAGAGAAUGGUUAUCAUUUAUCUCAUGCUUGGUUAUCUCCUCUCUGGUAAGCACUCACCUACAUUUAUGUAUAUAUGUCUAUAUUUUCUUGUUCUCUGUUUGUAUAUGUGCCAGUUUAGCUCUAAAUAAUUCGCUCUAUAUCCUGAUAUCGUAGCUGGUACUGACUGCCUGUGUUACUGUUGAGUUUUUAAAAUGUACCAUCACAGGGCAAACUAUGGCAGAUGGGGGAAAAGGAAAAUUGUAUAUCUGGAAAUGUCAUGUCGUGGCUAAUGUGCCUGAACAUUGCCUGCCAAUAAAAUGCAAAAUGAGAUGCAUUGGAAAAAUGUUCCUGACGUUAUUUUUUUUCAUCUGUUUUUCCCAUAGAUACUUAUGUGCUAUGUGAAAACUGCACUUUGUGCAAUGAUGAAGUGUUCAUCAGCAGCGAGCCAUCCAGCCCAAAUGAGGGUGACGACGUCACUCUCACAUGCAAUGAAAAAUGUGGAAAUUCAACUGUGACAUUUCAGUGGAAGAAAAAUAAGGAGGUCAAACAAAAAGAAAACAAUAAGACCUUUCUUAUCCAAAAAGCGCUUUCAACUUCUGACAUAUACAUCUGCUCAGUAAACUGCUCCCGUUACUGUUGUGAUUCUAAACCAUACACGCUGUCUACAAAAAACAACACUGUGAUCAUCUUGGUGGUCUGUGGUGUUGCAGCUUUGGCCCUUGUUUUGAUUAUGGGACUGAUUAUGAAGUGUAAGCUGAAAAGAGACAGCGAUAAACACAGGGAGAGGGUGAGGCAGAGACAGGCUGGACAGGCUGCUGGUGGGCCAUAUCCUAUCACACCCAGAGAGUCCUAAAAAGAAAACAUUCUAUCAUAUUUUAAUAUAAUAAAUUCUGAUCUUAUGCAACAUAAUAUAUAUUUAUCUUUUUGAUAUUUCAGACUUUUGCAUG